rnacentral:rRNA from 1 species
CACGGAGUUAGCCGGUGCUUAUUCGUAUAGUACCUUCAGCUACCCUCACGAGGGUAGGUUUAUCCCUAUACAAAAGAAGUUUACAACCCAUAGGGCCGUCGUCCUUCACGCGGGAUGGCUGGAUCAGGCUCUCAACCCACUUGUCCAAUAUUCCUCACUGCUGCCUCCCGUAGGAGUCUGGUCCGUGUCUCAGUACCAGUGUGGGGGAUCACCCUCUCAGGCCCCCUAAAGAUCGUAGACUUGGUGAGCCGUUACCUCACCAACUAUCUAAUCUUGCGCGUGCCCAUCCCUAUCCACCGGAGUUUUCAAUACCGAAUGAUGCCAUCCAGUAUAUUAUGGGUAUUAAUCUUCCUUUCGAAAGGCUAUCCCCCAGAUAAAGGCAGGUUGCACACGUGUUCCGCACCCGUACGCCGCUCUCAAGAUCCCGAAAGAUCUCUACCGCUCGGCUUGCAUGUGUUAGGCCUCCCGCUAGCGUUCACUCUCGAGCCAGGACUACGAAACUACUACUGAGACGUACC